UGAGGAAUAUUGGUCAAUGGUCGCAAGACUGAACCAGCCAUGCCGCGUGCAGGAAGACGGUCCUAUGGAUUGUAAACUGCUUUUAUACAGGAAGAAACCCUCCCACGUGUGGGAGCUUGACGGUACUGUAGGAAUAAGGAUCGGCUAACUCCGUGCCAGCAGCCGCGGUAAUACGGAGGAUCCAAGCGUUAUCCGGAAUCAUUGGGUUUAAAAGGGGUCCGUAGGCGGUCUUAUAAGUCAGUGGUGAAAGCCCAUCGCUCAACGAUGGAACUGCCAUUGAUACUGUAAGACUUGAAUGCUUAGGAAGUAACUAGAAUAUGUAGUGUAGCGGUGAAAUGCUUAGAUAUUACAUGGAAUACCAAUUGCGAAGGCAGGUUACUACUAAGUGAUUGACGCUGAUGGACGAAAGCGUGGGGAGCGAACAGGAUUAGAUACCCUGGUAGUCCACGCCGUAAACGAUGGAUACUAGCUGUUCGGCGCAAGUUGAGUGGCUAAGCGAAAGUGAUAAGUAUCCCACCUGGGGAGUACGCACGCAAGUGUGAAACUUAAAGGAAUUGACGGGGUCAUAGCUGUUUCCUG
rnacentral:rRNA from 1 species